rnacentral:rRNA from 1 species
AGCGAACGCUAGCGGCGGGCCUAACACAUGCAAGUCGAGCGGGGAGCAAUCCCCAGCGGCGGACGGGUGAGUAACACGUAGGUUAUGUGCCCUUUGGUGGGGAAUAACCGUGGGAAACCAUGGCUAAUUCCGCAUAUCGAGCGAAAUCUUGAAAGCCUUCUGGCGCCAAAGGAGCAACCUGCGGCCCAUUAGCUUGUUGGUAGGGUAACGGCCUACCAAGGCGAUGAUGGGUAGCUGGUCUGAGAGGAUGAUCAGCCACACUGGAACUGAGACACGGUCCAGACUCCUACGGGAGGCAGCAGUGGGGAAUAUUGCGCAAUGGGCGAAAGCCUGACGCAGCCACGCCGCGUGAGUGAUGAAGGCCUCGGUC